UUUUUUUCUUUUGGUUGAGCCUGGGGCAGUUGGAAGUUUCUGGGUCUGGGAUCAAACCAAUGUCACAGCAGUGACCCGAGCUGAUGCAGUGACAAUGCCAGAUCCUUAACCUGCUGCACCACAAGAGAACUCCAGUUUCUUCAUUUUAGUUUUUUUAUUUUUUGCUUUUUAAGGCCAUACCUUUGGCACUGGAAGUUCCCAGGCUGGGGGCAUAUUCAGAGCUGCAGCUGCUGGUCUAUGCCAGAGCCACAGCAAUGCCAGAUCUGAGCCAUCUCUGUGACCCACACCACAGCUCACGGAAACCUACUGGGUUUUCUAACCCAUUGACUGAUGUCAGGGAUCGAACCUGUAUCCUCAUGGAUACUAGUCAGGUUCGUAACCCACUGAAGCACCACAGGAACUCCCGUCUCUUCAUUUCGAAAGUGGUGAUAAUGGCAUCUACUUCACUGUGAUUACAGAGCUAAAAUAAGAUAAAAACCAACGACAGGGGAGUUCCUGUCGUGGCGAAGCAGAAACGAAUCUGACUAGGAACCAUGAGGUUGCAGGUUCUAUCCCUGGCCUUGCUCAGUGGGGAUUGGUUCUCAUGGAUGCUGGUCUGAUUCAUUACCCCUGAGCCAUGACAAGAACUCCUAAUGUUUUUGGUGUUAGUAUAUGACAUACAGCAGAAGCCAAAUAAAUAUCCUAUUAAGUAAAGAAUAAAUGAAUGAAUGAAUGGCAUUUUCUCCUCCUCCACCUAUUUCUGUCCUUAGGGCUUAUCUAACAAAUCUGUAAUUUUCAUCUGUUUUUGUUCAAUGUCUCUAUCUAUUGCUGGAAUGUAAGCACAAGAGGGAUCUUUGAUUUGCUUAAUGCUGUAUUUCCCAAAUGCUACAGCAGUGUCUAAACACAGAUAUUUGUUGAAUGAGUGCUUAUCUUGUUUUAAUGAUGGCCAAGGGGAGAAUUUCUGAAAUUUUACCUGAUAACCUCUCCAGAGUCACCUUAGGACAAUCCUCCUUGAGAUUAACUGGAUUUGUGAGACAUACCCCUACUUCUUUGAUUAUUUGGAAUCAACUGGACCAUAUUUAUUCACAAUCCUUUUAACAGUUUUUAGCAACUAUUUACUGAUCAUCCCCCACCCCUGAGUGUGUAUGCUUACUCUCAUGGGGAGAGAAAAACUAGUGAGUCAGUGGCAACCUGCCGGGACAUGUAUUUUUGGCAGUAAUAAGGUCUUGCCAUCCCAAGUGACAAUGUAGCCAAUCUUCUUGAAUCUCUGGUCAGUAGGAGUGAAUAGAUUCUUGAUCCUCUGCCUCCCACAAGGUACAGAAGGGAAAACCACAUUAGGCCCCCACUGCCUGACAAAGCUGAUGGAAUUAGAAACGGGUGUAUAGCCCAAGAAAAUGAACCUCAUGGGUGUCCAGAGUAUUCUGACAUCCUGAUGAGAGAUUGAGAGACCAGUCAUGUACAAACCUUGUAGGUUCAUUUCUAGAAAGGCUGGCAACACUCCACUCUGAUUUUCCUGAAUAAAAUGACAGACUUUAGUGAUGCCUAAGGAUGAUUCCUAGAUUUUUUUUUUUUCCCCUCUGUUCACAGCAUCUGGUACAUCUUAUUUAGUUUAACCAAAAUAAAAUGUUUAGCUUCAUUUAUGAAAACAAACUCAAUACUUUUAAAACUUACUAUUUUAAUUGGAAACAGUUCAUAUGCUCUGUCCAACUGAAGCUCAGAAACAUAAAGUACAAUGAGCAGAAUGAAAUAUCACACAUUCAUCUCCGUAUAAAGCAACAUGAAAAGAUAUUUCAAAUGGAAAAAGCAAGCUACAAAAGUACAGUGAGAGUUUUAUGUUAAACAUUUUUCCUAAACCAUUCAUUUAUGUAUUAUUAUUUUUGUAAGUAUGUUAUUGUUUUUAUAAUACAAAAACAACAAAAUUAGGGAUACUGUUCAAAACACAUUUAUUUUCUAAAUCACUUUGAGGUUGAUUUAUAUCAGAUAAUUUCAACAAAUACAAUGUUUAAUGGAAAUCAUGGUAUAUAAUGUACCUGUCUCUAGAAAAGUCUUAUUUACAAGUUAAAGAACAAAACUGUUUCUUCAUUAAAUGUAGGUUUUAGAAAGACAUUCAUUAUAUGCAUUACUACCAUAAAAAAAAAAAAAUUUCUUAAGAGUUCCACUAUCCAGUGAAAUCUUGGGAGUGAAUCAAAAUUUCUUUUAAUCGUAUUCAGAAAAUCUAAUGUGUUUACUUGCUUGUUGAGUCUUUGCGAGUCUAAUCUUUUCACCUUUGGUGAUUAGCUAAAGAAAAAGAAAUCAGAAAUUAGAAUGUACUGGAUACCUAAAACCAAAAAGAGAAUUAUGACUAGAAAAAAUUUCAUAACUAUUAGCUUGAAUAACAUUUUUUAAAAAGGUGAUGAGUUAGACAAAUGAGAUAAUUAAGUUUAGGUCAAAUCAGUUACAGAGAAAACUGUUUAGAUCAUGGCUUAUUAAAUAUAAUACAUAUUAAAUCUUUGAACUAGCUAAAAUCCUCUCACUUUAGUUCCAGAGUACUAAAAAAACCUUUCAAUUAUUAAAAAAAAAAAAAAAAAUUCUACGAUGGUAAUUGUUUUGACAUUUUAGGAGGGUUAAGGACCAAUAUUUAUUAGUUGUUUCAUAUCUGUCUGGGCUUGAGUAUUAAUUAUCACAACACUACUUAAAUGAUAUGGAAUCUUUAGUCAUUAUAUGGUGCUUAAAAAUACCUAUGUUCUUUGUAUGAGACAGCAUAUUUUGGGUUAAGUGCUCCACAAAGGUUUGCUUAAUUUGAAAGAUAUUCAAAAUAAGGAUCUGCUAUUAAGAAUACUUACACUUUACUAAACUCUUACAUAAAUACUUGAAAAUUUUAAAGGUAAAUGAAAUUAUGUGGAAUUCAGAAGAUGACCAUUUAAAAUGUCUAAAUAUUCCAAAAGCUUUCUUGAUAGAAAACUGAAAGAAUCUAGUUUUGGAGGAAAUUAAAAUCUUAUUCUCUUAAAAACACAGAUUCCAAUAAGUAUUCAUUAAAAUAGUUUCUUUAAAUGUUUGAUGAUAAGAGGCCAUUGGCAGGAGGUUACACUUCUAGAUUAAACUAGAAGCCUAUUCAUCAGUGAGGUGAAUCAAAACGUUAAGUGUUUAAAACUCUGUCACGUCUGUAUAGCUCUUCACAAAUUUUAUGAACCCCACCUUUACCUGCUUAAUAUCUGACAUAUCAGUACUUUGCAAAGGAAAGACCAUUUUGAUAAAAACAACAAAAAAAUUCAAAUAUACUUUAAAAGCUAAAAAGAAAUGAGAAAAGCCUCACUGUGUCUCCAGUAGCUGUUAUCUAAUUUUUACCAACGUGCUCAAAGUGAGAGUACACUCCAAAGAUUUGGUCUAGCAAGACUGAAUGAAGAGUUCCCUGGUGGCGCAGCAGGUUAAGGAUCCGGCGUUGUCACUGCUGUGCCGCUGCUGUGGCGAAGGUUCGACCCCGUGGGUGUGGCGAAAAAAAAAAAAAAGAAUGAAUGAGACCCCUUUGGCAGAUCUUUCCUGCAUCUUACUGAUCUUUUGACAGAGGUCUUAAUUAACCUGUACUUGAUUUUUAUAUGUAAAAAUGCCAUACACAGAAAAUAAAAUUUUUCUUUACCAAUUCCUUUGUCCUUUAAUUCCGUAUAAACUGACCAGAACUUAGGAAACUGUCCCCAGUAGCCUUCUCCUCCACAACGUGAAAAUAAGAACAAGGAUUUUUUACUUAGUGCUUUUUCUGCGCUCAACUAUGGACCAAAUAUAAUCCGACCGUGGAAACGGUGGUCUGGCAUGUCAGACUUGUUUUGCUGCUAAUUUUUUCUAAACACUUCAUUUCCAUCACCGACAUGCUGGCUUCCUGUACCCCAGCUACCCUGGCCUCCUGGUCCAAUUAUCUCCCUUCAAGGCCUCAGCACUUUAUGUUGUCUCCGACUGCAAAGCUGUGCGUCCCAACUUUCCUGGCUCGCUUGCUUGCUUCCCGAGAGUGUGCUGACUGUCACCUUUGCAAACUUAACUUCCCAGACAACCUUGUCUGAGGUAACCUGUAACACUUUUCAUUUGAUUUUUCUGUUCAGCACUUGUCAUCAUCUGACCUAUAGUAAAUGUAAGCCUCCAGGAAGUAGGGGAUUUUAUUAUUCGUGGAGAUCUACCCAGUUCCUAGAACACAAACAGGCACCAAAAUAUUAAUUAAGUGAAUUAACAAAAAAGUAAACUAAUUAUGGUUUAACCCUUACCUCCUCUGGGAAGCUAUUCCGUGUGGUAUAGUUUUUUCAUUUCAUGAGAUGAGUAAACUAGUUAUUUCCAUAGCUUCAGCUAGGACUCUAUACUUUCAGAUAUUAUUAUUUAUCAAAUAAAUCGUGCUAAUGAUAAGCCGGAUGGUCUAAGAGGUAAAUGAAAUCAGCUAAAGAACUCUCUGGUUCAGUGAUAGAGCUACUCACUGUGUUCUAAAUGAAUUUACAAAAUUCCCUAGGUCAAUGUUUAUUUCCCUACCUAAAACUAAUUUAUGGAGAUGGAAUCUUUAUUUAAAAAAAAACUAACUUCUAGCUUUAAAAAUAUAUACAAUUUAAGUAGGACUUCCCUGACGGUUCAGUGAGUUAAGGGUCUGGUGUAGUCACUACUCUGACUCCAGAUCCAUCCUGGGCCCAGGAACUUUUGUAUGCUACAGCGAGGCCAAUAAAAAAAAAAAAAAAAAAAAAAAAAAA
rnacentral:lncRNA from 9 species